UACGUAGGGGGCGAGCGUUGUCCGGAUUUAUUGGGCGUAAAGAGCGUGUAGGCGGUUCGGUAAGUCUGUCGUGAAAUCCUGAGGCUCAACCUCGGACGUGCGAUGGAUACUGCCGGGCUAGAGGAUGGUAGAGGCGAGUGGAAUUCCCGGUGUAGCGGUGAAAUGCGUAGAUAUCGGGAGGAAUACCGGUGGCGAAGGCGGCGUUCUGGACUGCAACUGACACUGAUGAACGAAAGCCAGGGGAGCAAACGGG
rnacentral:rRNA from 1 species